rnacentral:lncRNA from 1 species
AUUACGGACCCUGAAAAAAUAAGAGAAAUACUUAACAAAUUUAAUGACUUCCAGAAGAUACGUACCAAUCCUCUGCUUAAUUUGCUUGUAAGCGGCCUUGUUAACCUCGAAGGAGACCGAUGGAGCAAGCGUAGAAAAAUCAUAAACCCUGCAUUUCAUCAAGAUAAGUUGAAGGUAUAGAAUAGUGAUGGGUAAUCAGACUUUACAGAAAACAUCAUACUUAAACCAAUGCUUUUCUGAUUUAGAAAUAAUUGGAUGCAGAAUAUGUUGCCAGCAUUUUAUCAAAGUUGUAGUGACAUGUUAAGCAAAUGGGAGAAGAUGGUGUGUACAGAAGGAUACAGUGAGUUAGAUGUGAGGCCUUAUCUCGUAGAUUUGACAAGAGAUGUGAUUUCCCGAUCUGCUUUUGGAAGCAGCUUCGAAGAAGGCAAACGAAUUUUCCAAUUACUAGAGGACCAACUCGUUCUCACAAUCAAAUUAAUACAAACUGUUUACAUUCCAGGAUGGAGGUAACCGUCAACUUAAUUUACUUGAAAAAGGUUGCAAAUCUUGGAAUUGGCUAAAUUCGUGUUUGUUUUCUUGAAGGUUUUUGCCAACGAAGACAAACAGGGAGAUGAAGAUGAAACACAGAGACAUAAAAGAGUCGCUUAGGGAAAUGAUAAAGAGAAGGGAGAAGGCAAUUAAAGCAGGGGAAGAGAGCAAUGAGGACUUGUUGGACAUACUUGUGGAAUCCAAUAUCAGAGAAAUGGAAGCAAAGAAUAUGGGGAUGAGCAUUGAGGAUGUGAUUGAGGAAUGCAAGCUGUUUUACUUUGCUGGCCAAGAGACCACUUCGGUCUUACUGGUGUGGACUAUGGUUUUAUUAGCAAGGUAUCCCGAUUGGCAAAGUAAAGCAAGAGAGGAGGUUUUGCAUGUUUUGGGUGACAAUAAACCUGAUGCUGAUGGCCUUAAUCGUCUCAAAGUUGUAAGUCCCUAGCAUGUCUUUUGAAGGUCCGAUCAAUGAGGUCGACAACUCAAAAACUUUGUUUCUUUUUUCGCUAAUUCUACAGGUAACGAUGAUAUUGUACGAGGUUCUAAGGCUGUACCCACCGGUGGUUGAGCUAGGACGUUCCGUUCCAAAAGAAAUAAAACUGGGGAAUUUGUUGUUACCAGUAGGAACAGAAGUUUCGGUUCCGAUCCUGCAGAUCCACCAUGACAAAGAUCUUUGGGGUAACGACGCACGGGAAUUUAAGCCAGAGCGGUUCGCGGAAGGGGUUUCCAAAGCAACAAAGAGUCAAGUCACGUUUCUGCCAUUCGGAUGGGGUCCUAGGAUCUGUAUUGGCCAAAAUUUUGCUUUGAUGGAAGCCAAAAUGGCGAUGGCUAUGAUUCUCCAACGCUUCUGGUUCGAGCUUUCCCCUUCCUAUGCUCACUCUCCUUACAGCAGGGGAACUCUUCGUCCACAGCAUGGUGCACAGAUAAUUUUACAUAAACUUGGCUGUAAUUGAAUUGUUAUGUAAACAAAUCUUUGUGAAAACAUAGCGUUUUAGUGUAUCGUCAAAGUCCGGUGUCUGUAAUGGUACAAAUUCGAUGCAUGAAUAGUAAAUUUUGAGAUGUUUGGUGAAGUCCGAAAUAAUAUGCAGAAAUUGAGCGUCUAUGGUGGACAUAGUUGAGGGACUAAUGUGGUAAUUAUCAAUCAAAUAAUUCGGUACAAAGACUUGUAUGGAAAUUAAAGCAGGGGGAGUUGAAAAUGACUACUCUGCUUUGGGCAUCAAUUUAGAAAGAUUUAAAGUACAACUGUGUUAUCAGUUAAGGGAUUUGUUUUAAAGAGGGAAUGACAAUUAAACCUCAUGGUUUAUUUGUGCAAGGGAACCGAUGAUGGGAUGAUUAUUCUUAGUGGUAAAAAAAACCAUUAUGGAGGUUAUUACACUUGUUAUCAUCAGCUUAAAAUUCGAAUGGGUUCAAGUCGGAUUAUAUCGAGCUUGUAAGAUGAGUUCACGGACCAAGUUUGCAUAAUAAAAUACCUAAAUGAAAAAAAAUUCUAUUUUAGAGGGACGAGAGCCCCUAUCAACUCCCGGCUCAGCCACUAAACAAUACCUAUAUCAUAUAAAUAAAUACCACCAUCUAAAAGACUCAAAGAAAAACACUCAACAAAGGAUAAAUAGAUAGAUGUUGGAUAAGUGUCCAAAAUAUGAUUUAAGUGAAGAUACAUGUGGUAGGUGUUACGGAAAUGUGAAGACAAGAAUCCCACUAACGUAUGGGAUGUGUGCAGUUGAAUGUAGGGAGCAAAAAGAGGAGUGAAUCAUUUUGGUAACAUUUGGACAAGAAACAUAAUGAACAAAAUGGAAGGAGAGGAAGCUAGUAAAAGAAUUUUUUUGGGUCAUAUAAUUUGUUCAUUUUGGAGUUGAAUUAUAAUUUUUUUAUAUAUUAUUUUAAAAUUUUAAGGAGUUAAAACAAAAUUAUUUUAUUUUCAGAUGGUCAAAGUAGAGGUGAUAAUGGGUUGGGCUAUUCGGCCCGGCCUGACGAUUCACUCGAAAAAUAGGAGGGUUUAGGUAAAAAUAUAGGCUCGAAAUAGGGAUUUGAGCAAAAAAAGAGUCCCGUUUAGAAAAUGGGCCAGGCCUCGGGUAAAAUUUUUUGGGCCCAAGCCUGACCUGAAUUAUAUAUUAAAUAUAUUUUUUAAUUUUUAAUCAAAUAUACUUUUUUUUAUUAAUUUGGUUAUUAUUUUAGUUCUAAUUUGUUUCAAUUUUAAUAUAACCACUUUUUAUUAUAUUUUCAAUUUGUGUAUUGUUUUAAGAAUUGUUUUAGUCUCAUUUUUUUAUUUAUUUUUUGUUUUAAUAAUUGUUUUAAAAAUUUUUAUUUAAUGAAAUAAGCUAAAAAAAUUAAUAUGGGCUUGGCCAGGCCAGGCUCGGGCCUAGUAAUUUUCUUUUGGGCCGGACUUAGAUAAAAUUUUAAGCCCAUAUUUUAAAUUGGGUCCUAACCUAAAAAAUGAACCUAAAAUUUUAUAUGGGCCCGACUUGGCCCUUGAUUACCUUUAGGUCAGAGCUAUCCUCGUUUUGCAUUUCUUUGAGAUUCAGCCUUAUCUACUGUGAUUGCCCACUCAAUUGAGGGUUGAGUAGAAAGAUUUGGUGAAGCAAGCUAAGCUAUCAAUCAAGGUUUGCAUAAUUAUUUAAAUGUAAUUCUAAUAUUAAAAUAAUUUUUUUAUUAAUAUAGUAUCAACAAGCAUUAAAUGUAAUGAUCAUAUACUAUUACAUUUUAAAGAAGAGAAAACAUGUUUGAACUUUAAAAACCACGUUACUAAAAACAUUAUCACAAACCUUGAAAUAUAAAAAAUAAUUUUUUUAAUAUAAUAAAAAAUUAAUUUUAAACCCGAGCUGAAUAAAAUUCUAAUUUUAGUUAAUGAUACGAACAACAAAUCAAUAUUCUAAGCCCGAGCCCUGCUCAUUUUUUUAAUAAACACCAAAAAUUUAUUUUGAAAAUAAAAAAUAAAAAAAAUAUUUUAAAAAUAUUUUAAAAAUAAAAAAAAUUAAAAAUAAAUAUUUAUUAUAUAUUCAGGCCGGGCCGGGCUAGCCUUGGGCUAAAAAAAUGGUGCCCGAGGCCCGGCCCAUUUUCUAAAUAGGCCUCAUUUUUUGUCCAAACCCAUAUUUUGGGCCUAUAUUUUUACCCGAACCUCUCAUAUUUUGGGCGGACCGUCGGGCCGGACCGGGCCGCCCGGCCAUGAACACCUCUAGGGCAAAGUCACUCAAUGAAUGCAUGGAAAGAAAUAUUGCAACUUGGUGACAGCUUUUGUUGGAGUUAUAUGCUUUUUUUUACAUAGUGGAACUUUCGGUGGAUUUUCAAGUUUCAUGAACUUUAUACCCUAGGCUUUACGUGAAAAAAAUCAUUGGACUUAAAAGUCUACCAAAAGUUUCACUAUAAUAAAUAAAUAAAUAAAUAACAUUGCUACAAGACUACAACAUAAAGUUACAAUAAGAGCUUAUAACUCAACAAAGGCUAUCAAUAAAUAAUCUCAAGCAAGCUAAAGAGAAAUGUUGAGAGUACCACUCAAAUAGUGAUUGACUUUAAAAAUUGAAAACCCGAAGUUAUUGUUGACACCAUUUUUUGGAUGAAAAUGUGUCGACUUGGGUUUUGAAAAUGAAAACGAAAACGAGAGUCGCCACCAAUCCUUUUUGAUAAGGUGUGACUGGGUCACCUUGAAAAGUGGUUGUUUUUAAUAAACGAUUUGAUUUUAUUAAAACAACAGUUUUGGUCCACGAAAUUCAGAAAAAUGAGUUCGGGAGUCGGUUACGCACGAGGAAGGAUUAGCACCCUCGAUACGCCCAAAAUUGGUACCUAGUUGAUUACUUAAUGUCUUAAUGUCGAAAAUUGAAAACUUUGGAGAAUUUUAAACAUACGAUCCUUGUAUUAAAACGUUAAAAAUUUUCAAGAAAAUGGGAUAUUUCACGUUAUUCGAUAAAGAGAAUCAUAUCCUAGUAAGUUAGGACACAAUAUCUCGAAUUUCCGAUAUCAUUUAAAACUUGAGUUUGAAAAGAUUCGUGUAAUAAAGUUUAAAAUAAUAUUCAAUUGUUUAAAUCAAAUGAAGAAAUCGCAACCCAAUACGUUAGGGCACAAUUUCUCAAAAUAUUAAACAUUGAAUAUUGCAUUUAUUUCGAAAAAUCCUCAUCUCGAGAAAACGUGUCACAUCCAAUGCAUUAGAAUACAACGUAUUGAAUUCUCGAUAACGAGCUUUUUCUCAUUUUUUAAAAGAGUAAUCUCGAUUAUUUAGGUUCAACGAAGAAAAUCAAAACCCAAUACGUUAGGGCUCGAUUUUCUCAAAGAUUCCAAAUACCGAGUAUUACUUAUAUUUUUAAAAUUUCUUUUUUGAAAUCCGAGUAAAAAUGAAUGCAAAAUAAUAAAUGAUGACAAUGUAAAUAAAAUGAUACAAGCAAAACAAUAAACAAUAAAAAUAAUCAUACGGGCAAGGUAACAAAUAAUUAGGAACUAAAGAAAGAGAACAAACAAUAAUAAACAUGCAAAUAAAUGAACAAAAUUAACAACAUGAUGCAAAUAUGAAAGAUAUAUAAGCACAUAUAUAUACAUAAAAUAAUGAGAAUAUGAAAAAAUGUGUGUAAUUGGACAUGUUUCGGAAUUAUUAUACAUUUAAAAAUCAUGUAAAUGUGUGUACAUACAUAUAUACAUAUAUAAUAAUCAUUAAAUAUAUAAAAAUACAUAUGUGUAGGUAUAUAUGAGUCAUAAAAUGUAAAGAAUAUAUACAAGAUAUAUUUUGAACGUAUAAAGUAUAUGUAAAUGUAUAUAUAUAAUAAAGGUGUAUGAAAGCAUAUUUUAUAUACGUGUAUUUAUAAAAUGUAUAUAAAUGUAUAUUGAUUUACCAAUACAUAUGGAUUUAUAAUUAUAGAAUAUAUAUAAAAUAUUUACAUAUAUACGUUUAUGCAUAUAUAAAAGUAAGUUAUUAUAAAAUAUGAGCAAGCAGAAUACAUAAAUAUAUAUACAUAAAAUAAAAAUGAAGAUGAAAAUAAUAUAAAACUACUUAAUAUAUUAAUAUAAUAGUAACAAAUUAAAAAAACAGAAAAUAAAGCUAAUAAUAAUUAAUAAUAGUAGUAAUAAUUAUAGCAGCAAUGAUAAUGAUAAUAAUAAUAACACUAAAAAAAUUAAUUAAAUAAUAAAAUUGCUAAAAAGGGAUUAAAUCGAAAUAAAAACAUAAAUACUGGGCGAUUUUGAAAUAAAAAACGGGAAGGACCGAAUUGCAACGCGCGUUGAAAAGGAAAGGGCCAAAACUGCAAAUAAACCACAGCCCCAAAACGCAGCGUUGAAAUGGACCAAGUCGAAAUAAAAAUAAAAUUGCAGGGGCUAAAUUAAAAAUAAGAGAAAAUAACGAAAAAUGAUCAAAUUGUAAUACGCUGCAAAAUCAGGGGGACUGCACGCGCAAAUAGCCCAAAAACUGAAAACACGCGGAUCCUCCGGGUCGGGUCGGGUCGGGUCAGGUCGACGUGCGGAUCCCCUUUGCUAAAACGGCGUCGUUUCAUGUUUAAUAUAAAUACUAAAAAAAGCUAAAAAAAACAGUUUCAUCUUUUUUUAAAAAAAACAGAGAGAAAACUCUCUCUUUUUCCCUCAGGUCCGGCCAUGGUCCGGCUUGGGAUUUCCGACGAGUCUCCGCCGCAAAGCCACCGUGUGUGGCGGCCGGAGGUUCAAAAUCAGACCUUUUUGGUCCUUUUUUAAAGUCCAUGGCCUCCAAGCCACAGAUCCGGGGCUGAAUCUCCUGAAUCGAAAGCCGAAGACCCAAAAAAUGGGGUGAAAUCCUUCGCCUUCCUCCCCCUUCCGGCGCUGCGCAGGUAAGGUUUUUUUUAACUCCUUUUUUACUAUCUUUAUUUAUAUAUAUACAUGAAGAGAAAAGAGAGCAAAAUAAAUAAAUAAAUAAAAACUUCAAAACUGAAGAGAAAAAGACCUUGAAUCUGCCUUAUUUAUUUUCUUUCGGUUGAAUCUGUUUUUGUUUGUUACAAAAGUUUCCAGGGAAGAGAAAAAAAAAGAGAGUUACAUGCUUGGCUUUUAUAGCCGAUAUUAAUUUCUAUUUUUUGUUUUCUUUUUCCUUUCUUUUCUUUGGCUGUUGCGUGUUUGCUUCCUUAUUGCAGGGUGAUUGACGGGAGUGGUUGGCGACAGAGUCGGUGGCCACUUGCACUGAUGAAGCAGCGGUGGCGGCGCUAGGGUAGGCUAGGGACGGCGGCAGUACUAGGGUUUCAGAAAACUGAAACCCUAGUUUGACAAAUUGGUUUCGGGCCUGUUGGGCUUUAAAUUAUGGGCUUUGUAAUUGGGUUUUGGGUUUAGGUGAUUUGGGUUUAGGUGGUAUGGGCCCGGGUCAAAUUUUGGGUAAUGGGAUUGGGGCAAAAUUGGGUUGUACAGUUAUAAUAUCCCAAACGAAAUCAAACUAUAAACAUUAAAUUUUUCGAGUCUUCUAGAUACUGUAAAAAAUUCAGCUCCAACGGACACCAAAUGAACCUAUGAUCGAAGAAAAUACGAAGACUAGUCUGGCUAAAUCAAUCUGCCAAACUUACUUUUUAUCUUAUCUUUAAUUUGCUGUGAAAUUCAAAACUACGUGUAAUACUCAAUUUAUGCUCGACCCAUUUUGUUAAAACAAAUAAAAAAGAAAAGAAAAACAAAAUAUUUAAAUUUAGCCCAAAUGUCCAUUUACACAGCCCAAUUACAAUUGCAAAUAAAAAAAACUAAAACUAAACCCGAUCCUAAGCAUCAGCCCAAAUUCGACCCAUGCCCAAAACGAAUUCAGAUGCAGAAACCCUAGCCCAGCCUUAAUGCAAGCAAAAGUCGAAAGCCCUAAUAGUUGGUGCGCCGCUCCUGUAACAGCCCGAUUUUGGGCCUAGUCGGAACAGUGGUUUUGGGACCACAAAUCCGACGAGAAAAAAAUGUAAUGGCCCGAAUUUUCAGAGGUGUCAGAACGGUGAUUCGAGAUCACUAAAUUCGACAAAUGGGUAGAAAAUAUUAUUAAUUUAGUAAGUAUAAGUUAAAUGUGAAGUUAGGAAAAUUUUUGAAAUGGUGAAUAGUACACUAGAAAUAAAUAUUAAAAUAAUUAGAAUCGAAAAUGAGGUAUCGAGACCUCGGGGAUUUUAAACCGAGCCAUAAAUAUUUUUAUAAAUAUUUAUGUAGUCUUAAAAAGUUAGUAUUAAAGUUUCGUUAAGAAAUUUUAAAGUUCCGAUAAUUAAUUGAACAAAAAGGACUAAAUUGUAACAAAUACAAAAUUAUGAGAAAUGAUUAAAUAGUUUAAAUGAUAAAAGGAAGAGGGCUUAAAAGGUAAAUAGACCCAAGGUCUAUUUGGGCUGCACGGCAAAGGCAUGAAAUCAGCAACAAAGUAAGGAGAAUUAAGGGCAAAAUUGGAAUAUUGCAAAAUUUACUUAAUAAAGUUAGGACCAAAGUGGAAUUAUCUAGAUUUCUCUUUAUUUUUCUGCAUUAUCAUCAGCAUAAACACCAUAGAAGGGUUUUCUUAAGCUGGUUCUUCCUAUUUUUACUGCAGGUAAGUUCAAUUCUUGAUUAUUUCUUGAAAAUUUUGUGUUUUUGUGACUUUUACAACUAGGCCCACUUAUUGUAUUCAUUAGUUUUUGAUUCUAUGAAAGAAGUUGAAAGUUGCUAUGAAUACAUGCUGGAAGUAUAUGAUGAUUUAGCAUGGAAUUAGAGCUUUAAAUUGUUCAUAUGCUGAUUUAUUGAAAGAAUUGAAUAGAAAGUGAAUGUUUGGGACCUAAUAGUAAAAGAGUUUGAAGAUAGAGUUAUAUGUGGAAAUUCUGAAUUUCAAUAGUUGUGAAACAACUUAUAAUGUCUAGGUUAAGUAUUAAUUGAGAAAAUUAAAUUAAUUGAGGGGUUAAUUGAGAAAGGACCGAAUUGUAUAAACUGUGAAAUUUGGGGCAAAAAGGAAAUCAACAUUUUACACUAAAGCAGUUUUGGACAGCAGCAGUAGUAUAACUUUGAAAAAUCACCAAAAAUUUUGAGAAUUGAAUUAGAGGGUGAAUAAAAUAUAAAAUUAAAGCUCCUUGAAUCUAGUUUCUCAUAGAAGAAACGGUGUAAGCAAUGGAAUUGUAAAUCAUGAGAUAUAAUAAAUUUUGUGAGACAAUGUCAUAAUGAUUUCGGGUUCCCCUAUUCUGACUUUGGAAAAUCAUCAAAAAAUUAAGAAAAAUAUGAGUUAUAAUUUAUAUGAUUACAAUCCUUAAUGAGUCUAUUUUCAAAGAAAAUAAACGGAAAUAUCAUCCAAAUUCUGUACAAUUAUAUAAUUCAUUUUUAGUGAAGAGUGGUCGAAACUGUCAGACAGCGAAAUAGGGGGAACUUUAAAGAAUAAACUGUACUAUUUGGCUGAACCAAAAAUUCUGAAAAUUUUAUGGUAAGAAGGUAUGUGAGUCUAGUUUUAAGGAAAAUUAACGGAUCUUAAUUUAGAGCUCUGUAGCUCUAGAUAAAAAUAAUUUAGUGACUCUGACUCAGAUAAAUAGCUUUGAAUGUACAUGUGAGUGAAUAGUGAAAUUAUAGCUAGUGUUGUUUAAGUGUGUUAUACACAUUAAGGAUAUGGAAUGGAGAGGAGGAGGAGGAGGAAAAAUUGGGAAAUAUAUGAAUGAUUUGUGUAUAAUUGGUCAUAUGCUUAAUUAUAAUUGAUAAACGAUGAAAUAGAAAUGAUGCAUAUAUUUGUGCAGUAUUGGUCAUGGUUUAAGCUCAUGUGGGAAAAUAAAGUUUAUAGUACGUGUGUAUUAUAUUUUUGGUAUAUGAUUUGGCAUUAAGUAAUGUCGUGAAUGGAUAUUGAAUUAACACAUGUUGGAAAGUUUGAUAUAUGAAUAAAUAUUGUGAUCAUGAAAGAGUGUUACAGCUCCUGCCUUCAGCACGCGUCGAGCCUCCGCGCCAAAUCCACGUGAGCCUCCGUACACUCCAACUAGCCUCCGUACCUGCAACAAACAAAAGUAGACAAAACAACAGCAAAGGAUAGGAAGAAAAGGCAGUAAAUAGUGAAGAUUUUUCUGUAAUUUUCUUUGGAUUUCAUUAUGUAUUUUCGGCUAUAAAAGAGCCAUUAGGAAUAUUUGUAAAGGGUUUUUUUUUUACCCUCACACACAAAGAGAAUAUACACGCAUACAAGAUCAAUAUAGAGAAAGAAAUAAAAAUAAAUAAAUACAAAGAAUAGAAAAUCAAGUUUCGAAGGUGAUUCUUUGAAAAAUCCUUUUCGUUUUUCUCAUUUUUCCUUUUUCCUGGAUCUUUUGUUCAUUUCAAGUAAAAAAAGUAUAGAAAGGAAACAAGUUUAGAGGAAGGAGGUUUACCUGGACGCCGGACCUCGCUCGCCUCGUCGAAAUCGAAGGCUGAGAGGGGAUAAAUCGGUUUUGCGGCAGAAGGAAAGGGGGGCUAGGGUUCUUGUUUUAACUUUUUUAAAAAAAAUAGAAAAGGUUGCUAAUUAGGUUUUAAUGGGGGAUUUAUGUGUGUUAAAAAAACGACGUCGUUUAGCGACCUUUGACCCGUGCGGUGACCCGACCCGAGGAAAGGAUCUGCGCGUUUUGGGUCUGAUGGGUUUAUUGCGCAACAAGCCCUUCCGCAUUUGUUUUUCGUUUCAAUUCGGUUUUUAUUUGUUUUUUAAUUGUUUUCUCAUAUUUAGUUCCAAUUUCAAUUGGGUCCAUGAUUAAACGACAUCGUUUUCAUUGAUUGGGUUUGAAGGCCUGGUUUUGUGCGUCUAAAUUGCAGCAAUGGUCCCCCUGAUGUGCAAUAGUUCUCGAUUUAGUCGUCUCCACACUUAUUUCAAAGUCGUCCUUGAGAUUUUGUUUUAUUUUUGAAAUUGUCCUUGUCUUCUUUUAAUUUAUAAUGAUAUUAUUAUUAUUGUUGUUGUUAUUAUUACUAUUAAUAUGGGUAUUGUUAUCAUGUUAGUUUAUAUCUAUUUAUUUACUUUUAUUUUAUUAUGUAUUAUUAUAUAAUGCUUUUAUCAUGUAUCAUUUUAUAUAUUUUCUAUGUUAAUCUAAUAUGAUAUAUAUAUAUAUAUGUAUUUUUGUGAUCUUAUUUUAUAAUACUUUUUUAACCCAUUUAUAUGCCUUUAUGUUUUAAAGAUUUAUAAUAUUUUGUGCAAAACUAUUAUAUAUAUAUAUAGAUAUACAAUUUAUAUUAGACCAUUUUUAUCGUACAUAUACGUAUAUAUAAUUUAUAUUUUGAAACUCUAUUUUAUUAUAUUUUAUGCCUCUAUAUACAUCAUUAUAUGUUUAUUAUUCUUUAUAUUAAACCUGCCAUUUCACUUAUAUAUUUUUAAAACCAAUGUGUAUUAUUCUUUCUUCUUUGUUAUUUUUUAUCUCUUAAAAUAGAUUGAUAAUUCAUUUAAUUUUUGAAUGUUGUAUGACCGAGAUUAUCGUUGCCAUUCUUGUCCAAAUUUAUCCAUUGCUUGUUCAUAUUAUUUGAUAAUUUAUCGCUCACUAGCAUGUAUCGUAAUUUACGAAUUAUCAUUUUGAAUUAUGUACUACCAUUCAAUCGCAUUACAUUUGUUUGGAAAACAUCGAAAUCGUUUUGCACAUAAACCUUCAAAAUGCUUGGUAUCCAAAAUUCUCGAGAGGAUUGUGCCCUAAUUUAUUGGGCUUCAAUUCCCCUUUUUGAUUUUAAAUAACCGAAUACCCCUUUUUCAAUUUGAACAUAGAAAUUCCAAAAUAAAAAAAAACUCAUUCUCGGGAAUUUGAUGCGUUGUGUCCUAACGUAUUGUAUAUGACAUAUUUUUCUCGAGACGAGGAUUUUUCUAACAAAUAAAAAUAAAGGCAAUAUUCGAUAUUUAGGAAUUUUGUGAAAUCGAACCCUAACUUACUGGGUUUUGAUUUUUUCAUUUGACCCAAGUAGGAUAUCCUUCACAAAUGCACAGAUUUUAAAAAAUCAAAAGAUAAACUUAAUUUCGAGGAUUUAAAAUGUUACACUCUGACUUACUGAGUGUGUCAAUUUAUUUCUUUGAAAUAAGUGAGUCUUAUCAUCCAAUUUAUUUUAUUCAAAUUUUCUUUUCCAAGGAUCGUAUUUUAAAAUUUUUUCAAAAUUUCGACAUUAAGACAUUAAGCAAUCAAUUCAGUACCAAUUUUGGGCGUCACGAGGGUGCUAACUCUUCCUCGUGCGUAAUCGACUCCCGAACCAGUUUUCUCAAAAUUCACAGACCUAAAAUUAUUUUCAAGGUGAUCCGAUCACACCACAAUAAAAGAUCAGUGGUGACUCCCAUUCCUAUUUUUAAAAGUCGAUUCCUGUUUUUCAUAUAUAAAAAAAUGGUUUCGACACUACGGUUUUGUUUGUUUCCCUUAGAACAACUUUCAAAAAGUUAAUUUUGAAAAAUGGAUUGAAUUUUCAAAAUAGAUGAUAUUUUUUUGUGUUAAAAUUUUAUUCGUUGUUUGAAAAAAAAAUUUAAAUCAUUUUCUUAGAAUUAUUUUUAGUGAAACAAAUAUAUCAUAAAUAUAUUUGUUAUAAAAUAUUAUAUUAAUAUUUUCUUUUAACAAUUAAAAUAUAUUUUGUGAUAAGGUAAUAUUUUAUAAUAAUUAAUAUCAUAUAUACUUAAUAAUAAAUCAUGUCUAAUUAAAAUUUAAUUUCAAUUAAAUAUAUUAAUAAAGCUACAUUUAAUCAUAUUUUAUAUAAUUAAAAUAUUAAUAUAAAUAUUUUUCAAUAAUAUAUUAAAGAAUAUUUAAAAUUUAAAUUUAUUAUUACUAAGAUUAAUUAUUAAAACAAAAAUGUAAUAUUAAAUAAUUUAUCCAAUGAUAAGUUAUAUUAAUAAUUUAUUAUAUUAUUAAAUAUAAAUAAUUAAAUAUGUAUGUUUAAUAAUAUUAUGUUAUAAUAUUUAUUACUAAUAUUUUAAUAUUUUUAAACAACCAUGUUUUAAAGAUGGUGGUGAUGGUGAUGGUGCAGGCCCCCUUGUUAAAAUUACAAUAUUUUUAAGUGGGAUGCAUGUAAUAUAUUGUUAGGGUUUUAGAGUAUGUGGUCUUUAAAAGGGUUAAAUUAUAUAUUUAUAUAAUAUGAUUAUUGUUUAUAAACAUAAUAUUGUAGAUAAGUUUAUAUGUAUGUCAAUAUGUAUCCUACUCUAAGGUUAAUAUGUAUUUUUUAGAUGUGGGUUUACCUAUAUAAUAGUAUGAAUCCAUCAUGUGGUCUCAUGAAAUAUACAAACACAUAUCGUGCGAACACAAAGUACGAACAAUAAAAAAUACAAAUCAAGACCCAAUUGAAUAAUUGAAUAACGGAUAGGUAAUAAUGAAUAUCAUAACAUUUACUAUCCCCUCUUUUCUAGUGAGUUAUUGUUUAUGAUAAAUUUGCAACAAAUGUUUUUAUCAUUAUUUUGUUGGUAAAUGAUAAUAAGAUUAAACAUUACUUUCUUAAGCUCCUUCAAUUCUUUGGACGUUAGCGAGUAAACUUGAGCUUCAGCAUUCCACAAACACCUUAAUUUGAAGACACAGUUCUCUCAUACUAAAAACGACAUGGACGUUUACCUUGUAAUUAGAGAUUUGGGCUCAUUGUUGGGUUAUUAAUGAUACGGGGAUGGAGAGCUUUAAACUGGGUAUGGUUGGCCCCAAAGAGGCUCGAAACGUGCUUGAGACUAGAGGUGAUCAAGGGCCGGGUUAGGCCCAGUCUAGAAAAAAAAUUAGGCCCAUUUUUUAGAUUUGAACUCGGCUCGGCUCAAAAUAUAAGCUUAAAAAUUUGUCUAAGUUCAGUCCGAAAGAAAAUUGUUAAGCCCAAGCUCGACCCAUAUUAAAUUUUACAACACCAAAAAAGUAUAUUUAAAUAAAAAUAAAAUAUAUAUAUUUAAUAUAUAAUUCGGGCCGAGCUGAACUCGGGCCAAAAAAGUUUUACUCGGGGCUGGUCCGUUUUCUAAACAGACUUCGUUUUUUUUGCCAAAAUCCAUAUUUUUACCCGAAUCUUCCUAUUUUUUGGGGUGUGCCGUCGGGCCGAACUGGGUAACCGAACCAAUGAUCACCUCUGUAAUCACUGAAUUUUGUCCGGGAAUAACUUUCGUUAAAAAAAUUUUAAAAUUAAAAAAAAAUUAACUUUUUUGCUUUUUGACCCCUAAACUUUUCUAAAAUUUCAUUUUAACCCCUAAACUUUCUCAAAAUUACAGUUCAACCCCUAAACUUUUCUAAAUUACAUUUUGACCCCUAAAAUUUCUUAAAAUUACAUUUGGACCCUUACACUUUCUCAAAAUUACGUUUCGGCCCCAAAAUUUUUGCUACAUUUACAAAUUGGUCCUUCUGUCAGAAAAUCCCCAAUAAUCCGGCGGAUUUCGUGCACCUGCCCCACUAUUUCCGGCAGCCGGCCUAGGGCAUGGCCUUCCCCACCUGCUACCUGCAAACAAGAAGCAAAAUCAACUAUAAAAAGGAGUUUAAACUCCAAAAAUCGGACCCCCACCCACGAAAAAAAUAAAAAAAAAAAACUUGAAAGAAAAAGAAAAAAGCUUUGAGAAAGAAAAAGAAAAGGAAAAGAAGAGAGGGGAGAAGGAGAGGCCGACCAUCGGCGAGCCACCGGAGGAGGCGACGGCAGCAGCGGCAUCGACGGCGGCGUAGAAGACCGAACGGAGAAGAAGAAGAAGAAGAAAAAAAAAGAAAGAAGAGAAAGAAAGAAGGAAGAAGAAGAAGAAAGAAACAAAAAAAAAAGAAAAUAUUUUGUAAUAGUCGGCCCGGCCCGACUCGACCUGCACGACCCGUGACCCGACCCGACAGCACCAGCAACCUAGCAGGCCACGGUAGCAGCCCGGCGGCCCAAAGAGUAGCCCAAAAAGAAAAAAAGAAGAAGAACAAAGCAAAAAAAAAAAGCAGGCCAUUUUCAGCAGGCCCAGUGCAGCCCAGCAGACCCAGCGAACCCAGCAGGCCAGGCCCACACGCAAGCAGCCCAACAGAAAAAAAGGGAAAGAAAAAGAAAAGAAAAAAGAAAAAAGAAAAAAGAAGAAGAAGGGGUUCAAUUUGUAUUAUCCGUUCGGCGAAGCUCGUGUUUUGAGGAUUUUUUUUCGGUAAUUUUAUUUUUUAAUUUUAAUUUAAUGCUCGUAUUUUUUUUAAAUAUUAUUAGUAUUUUAUGCAUUUUUAUAUUUUGGCAUUUAUAUUUUUAAUUUAAUUUACUUCAAUUUUUAUUUUAUUUUAUUUUAAAUAAUUUUAAUAAAUGAGGCAACGAAUCGAUUUAACAUAAAAUCGUUGAUUUCAUUGCUAUGUUGGGUGAAUAUCAUCGGUUUGUGUUAAACACGAUACACCCUUUUUAAAAAAAAGAAAAAAAUCGAAAAAAUUCUAAAAUUCUCAUUUUUUUAAAAUUCUCGUGUUUUAAUAGAAUCACGAUUAAAUAUUAAGUUGAAUCGAUUUGGCACUAAUUCGAUGAUUUCAUCUCCAUGUAGGGAUGAAUAUCAUUUAUUCGUGUUAAAUAUGGUACUUCUGAAAAAAAAUCGGGUUUCAAAAAUUUUCGUGUUUUCAAAAAUUCUCAUGUUUCAAAAAUCUUCGUGUUUUAAAAAUUCCAGUGUUUCAAAAAUUUUCGUGUUUUCAAAAAAAAAUUUCUCGUGUUUUUAAAAAUUCCCGUAUAUCGAAAUUUUCUUGUUUUCAAAAAAAAAAUUCCAUGUUUCAUAAAUUUCCGUGUUUUCAAAAAAAAAUUCUUGUUUUUCAAAAAUUUUCGUUUUUAAAAAAUUUGACCGUGUUUCAUAAAUUUUCGUAUUUCAAAAAAACCUCGUGUUUCAAAAUUUUCGGGUUUUUUUAAAAACAAUUCGUGUUUCUAAAAUUCUCGUAUUUUAAAAAAAAUCGUGUUUUCAAAAAAAGAAAAAGUUGUUGUGCUUUAAAAUUAUCGUGUUUCAAUCGGAUCACGAUUAAUAUUAAAUUGAACUCGUAUUUUUGAAAAUGAAAACAACGCGCGUUUAACGAGAUACCAAUUUUGGGCGUCGCGAGGGUGCUAAUACCUUCCUCGCGCGUAACCGACUCCCGAACCUUAAUUUUCUCUGAAUUUUUACGUGGACCUAAAAUUACCUCUUUUUAGAAAAGUUUAAAAAUGAAUUUUUCUUCUAAAAAGAGAAUUUUGUAGGUGUCCGAUCACACCUAAAAAAAGAUCGGUGGCGACUCCUUUUUUUCAAAUAAAAUCGAGAUUCAGUUUUCAAGUUUUUAAUAAUUACUUCGACAAGCGCCCGUGCGCAAAAUUUUUAAGUCGCUACAGCCUCUACUUGAGACAACAGGGUUUUGCAGGGAAUUCUUACAGGUUCGUUUCUGGCGACAAAAAAGAGCUCUUCACUAUAAGCAUACAAACAAGAGCCAAAACUAUGCCUCUUAGUGAUGAUAUUAGGCCUUAUGUUAUUCCUUUUCAACAUCAAACCGUCAACCGGUAUGGUAUGUUUUUUUUAUUUAAUCUGCAAUUUGUGAUAAUUCUUUGUUAUUUAUGUAUGGAAUUUAUUGGGAGGAAAUGCUGGAAAGAAUUCAUUUACGAGAAUUGGUCCAAGAUCAAGGGUGAACAUUACGGACCCUGAAAAAUAAGAGAAAUACUUAACAAAUUUAAUGACUUCCAGAAGAUACGUACCAAUCCACUGCUUAAUUUGCUUGUAAGCGGCCUUGUUAACCUCGAAGGAGACCGAUGGAGCAAGCAUAGAAAAAUCAUAACCCUUGCAUUUCAUCAAGAUAAGUUGAAGGUAUAGAAUAGUAAUGGGUACUCAAGACUUUAAAGAAAACAUCAUACUUAAGCCUAUGCUUUUCUGAUUUAGAAAUAAUUGGAUGCAGAAUAUGUUGCCAGCAUUUUAUCAAAGUUGUAGUGACAUGUUUAAGCAAAUGGGAGAAGAUGGUGUGUACAGAAGGAUACAUUGAGUUAGAUGUGUCGCCUUAUCUCGUAGAUUUGACAAGAGAUGUUAUUUCCCGAUCUGCUUUUGGAAGCAGCUUCGAAGAAGGCAAACGAAUUUUCCAAUUACUAGAGGACCAACUCGUUCUCACAAUCAAAUUAAUACAAACUGUUUACAUUCCAGGAUGGAGGUAACCGUCUACUUUAAUUUACUUGAAAAAGGUUGCAAAUGUUGGAAUUGGCUAAAUUCGUGUUUGUUUUCUUGAAGGUUUUUGCCCACAAAGACAAACAGGGAGGUGAAGAUGAAACACAAAGACAUAAAAGAGUCGCUCAGGGAAAUGAUAAAAAGAAGAAAGCAGGCAAUUAAAGCAGGGGAAGAGAGUAAUGAGGACUUGUUGGACAUACUUGUGGAAUCCAAUAUCAGAGAAAUGGAAGCAAAGAAUAUGGGGAUGAGCAUUGAGGAUGUGAUUGAGGAAUGCAAGCUGUUUUACUUAGCUGGCCAGGAGACCACUUCGGUCUUACUGGUGUGGACUAUGGUUUUAUUAGCAAGGUAUCCCGAUUGGCAAAGUAAAGCAAGAGAGGAGGUUUUGCAUGUUUUGGGUGACAGUAAACCUGAUGCUGAUGGCCUUAAUCGUCUCAAAGUUGUAAGUCCCUAGCAUGUCUCUUGAAGGCCCGAUCUCUGAGGUCGACAACUCAAAAACUUGGUUCUUUGUUUCGCUAAUUCUACAGUUAACAAUGAUAUUGUACGAGGUUCUAAGGCUGUACCCACCAGUGAUUGAGCUAGGACGUUCCGUUCCAAAAGAAAUAAAACUGGGAAAUUUGUUGUUACCAGCAGGAACAGACGUUUCGGUUCCAAUCCUGCAGAUCCACCAUGACAAAGAUCUUUGGGGCGACGCCGCACGGGAAUUUAAGCCACAGCGGUUCACGGAAGGGGUUUCCUAAGCAACAAAGAGUCAAGUCACGUUUCUGCCAUUCGGAUGGGGUCCUAGGAUCUGCAUUGGCCAAAACUUUGCCAUGAUGGAAGCUAAAAUGGCGAUGGCUAUGAUUCUCCAACGCUUCUGGUUUGAGCUUUCCCCUUCCUAUGCUUACUCUCCUUACAACAUGGCAACUCUUCGUCCACAGCAUGGUGCACAGAUAAUUUUACAUAAACUUGGCUGUAAUUGAAUUGUUAUGUAAGCAAAUCUUUGUGAAAAUAUAGUGUUUUAGUGUAUCGUCAACGUCUGUCUGUAAUGGUACAAUUCCGAUGCAUGAAUAGUAAAUUUUGAGAUGUUUGGUGAAGUCCGAAAUAAUAUGCAGAAAUUGAGUGUCUAUGGUGGACAUAGUUGAGGGACUAAUGUGGUAAUUAUCAAUCAAAUAAUUCGGUACAAAGACUUAUAUGGAAAUUAAAGCAGGGGGAGUUGAAAAUGACUACUCUGCUUUGGGCAUCAAUUUAGAAAGAUUUAAAGUACAAAUGUGUUAUUAGUUAAGGGAUUUGUUUUAAAGAGGGAAUGACAAUUAAACCUCAUGGUUGAUUUGUGGAAGGGAACCAAUGAUGGGAUGAUUACUCUUAGUGGUGAAAAAAAAACUAUUAAGGUGGUUAUUAUAGUUGUUAUCACCAGCCUAAAAUUUGAAUAGGUUCAGGUCGGAUUAUAUUGAGCUUGCAAGAUUAGUUCACGGACCAAACUUGCAUGAUAAUAGGUAUUCACAACAAGAUAUCUAUAGUUUCCAACAAAGUCACAUGUGAGAUCGUGCAUUAGAACCGCAUAAACAUGUUUUAUGUUUAGAAUAUGAUAUGUGUCUAUGUGUAUAGAAUCUACCUAAUAUAUCAUAUUAAUGAAUAGUAUCAAUUGCGGAGCCAAAAAAUUAUUUGUGAGGGGUCAGAAUUAAAUUGUAUAUUUUUACAAAAAUAAAAAUUAAAUUUCACUAUUUUAAUAGUUUAUUUAUUUUUAAUUUUUAAAUGAUUAAAUUAAAUUUUAUAAAUUUUUAGGAUCAAAGUAUAAUUUUAUCAUUACUAAUUUAAAAUUUUAUAAAUUAUAAAAAGUUUAUAUGAAAAGUUUUCUAUUUUAGGGUGGCCAAAGCCCCUGUCAACUUCUGACUCGAUCACUUGCGGUUAGUUGGGUAAAGACUCAAGAAAAAUAGCGGUGUGUUUGGAUGGACGGUGCGUUUACUUGCGGUUAGUGUAAAAAUAGCGGUGGCGGUGAGAUUAGAUACUAUAGCAACACUGUAGCGUGAGACAAAAAGUAAGUUAAACGCACUGCACUGCACUUAAUCGUCUAUCUAAACUCACCAUAAGUGUCUAAAAUAUGAUUUAAGUGAAGAUACGUGGGGUAGGUGUCAUGGAAAUGUAAAAAAAAAAAAGAAUCCUACUAAUGUAUGGGAUGUGUACAAUUGAAUGCAGGAGUGAAUCAUUUGGGUAACAUUUGGACAAGAAACAUAAUGAACAAAAUGAAAGGAGAGGAAGCUAGUAAUAAAAGAUUCUUUUGGGUUAUAUAAUUUGUUUGGCAUAUAUUUUUAUAAUAUUUAAAUAUCAUUUUGGAGUUGUUGAAUUAUAAUUUAUUUUUAUGUUUUAAAACAUAAUUAUUCUAUUUUUAGAGGUCAGAGUAGAGGUGAGCAUGAGUCGGGCUACUCGGCUCGGGCUGAAGGCUUGCGCAAAAUGUGAGAGAUUUGGGUAAAAAUAUAGGCCCGAAAAAUGAGUUUAGACAAAAAAAAAUAUAAGGCCCGUUGAAAAAACAGGCUAGGCCUUGGGUAAGGCAUUUUGGCCCCAGACCCGGCCCAACCCAAAUUCACUAAGGGCACGUUUGGUUCGCUGUAUUGGAAUAGAGGCGUAAUGUAAUAGAGGCGUAAUGGAAUAGAGACGUAAUAGCAAAUCAAUUGUUUGGUUGAAUGUAAUGGAAUAGAGGCGUAAUAGUAUUCUUAUAUUUGGUUGAAUGGAAUAGAGUUGUAAUAGCAUAAGGAAAAAAGUUAAAAUGACUAGAAUACCCUUAGCAGAAAUUUGUUUAGAUAAAUGAUUAUUGUUAUUGUUAUUAAAUUUUAAUAAGAUUAUUAAUAUCAGUAAUAAAUAAUUUAAUCAUAUUUUAACAUAAUUAUUAUUAAAUAUAAUUUAAUAAAAAUAUAUAAUUUAAUAAAAUUCUUAAUAUUAAAUAUUCUUAAUAUUAAAUUACUAAAAUCAUAAUAUAUAAUACUAUAAAAUAUAAUUUAACAUAAUUAUUAUUAAAUAUAAUUUAAUAAAAUUCUCAAUAUUAAAUAUAUUCUUAUAUGAAUUUACUAAAAUCAUAAUAUAUAAUACUAUAAAAUAUAAUUUAAAAUAAUUAUUAUUAAAUAUAAUUUAAUAAAAAUAUAUAAUUUAAUCUAAAGUUUGAAUGUGUAUUUACCUAGCAAAAAUCAAUGAACUCUCGUGUAACUAUAACCUUAAUAAUAUAUGAUGUAUAAUUAAUAUUUCGUGACUAAUUAAUAGCAUAGAGAUAAAUAUAGUAAUGACGAAUUUAUAGUAUACGAUUAAAAUGCUAAUAAUUUAUAGUAUACAAUUAAAAUAUUAUAAAUAAAAUAAUAGUAAAUGAUAUAUAAGAUAAAUUAACAUAUAAAUAAUUCAGAUAUGUAAAGGAUAUGGCUGAAUAUGGUUGCUCCAAUAAUAAAGGAUAUAUAAUAUAUCAUGGUGUUGUUUUGUUUAGAUAGUUCGGUAACUUAGGAGGGUAUGUAUGAAGAACACAAGUUGAUGCAGAUAGAAAGACGACAAUAUUACAUGAUUACAAUAUGAUAUAGUAUAUAUAUAUAAUUUAUGGAUUCCUUGCAAUCACGUGGGUUCUCUAGCCAUUUUAUUUAGCAUAUCCAGUGAUAUUAAGAUCCAGAAUUAUAAUACAACUAAAAUCUGUGCACACUUAUGGAUGAUCCAACAAAGCCUCAGUUGGCUUUAGGUUCCAAAUCUUGCAACCCACAAACCAUAUUUGCUGGCACUGCAACAUCAAUCAUCUUAGGAUAUGCCAAGUUAAGAUCUGUUGCACCAACAAAAACAGAGGAGAAAUUGGAAGGCGAUCCGAAAAAACCCAAGGAUGCUUUUUCUUUUCUUUUUUUUUUAUAAUCUUUAUAGACUGGUUAUAUUGAGCAUCAACUUACUUUCCAUGAUGUUUUUGAAAGUCUCUUACAAAAAGGGUAUUCAACAAAUAAUAUAAUCAGACAUAUUGAUAGGACAAAUUGAAACUAGUAUUCUAUGAUCAUAAUAAAGAGUAAUCUUUAAUCAAAUGCGUGAAGGUAUUGAGAUGUCAUGCUUUUUCAUGAUUUCCUGUUUUACCAUGGCGAUGUUCAUUGGAAUAGUCCCAUCCAAGAGAAUCAAACCAAUGCUCAGCAAGAAAUGUUCAAUGCAUAUGUAAUUUUAAUUACAGAAGUUAUAUGCAGCUUAUAUGAGUUCAAGAUCAUAAAAUACUUCAUGGACAAAAGGAAACCCUUUCUUAUCACUGAAAUGAAAAUAGGCACUCUUAAUUUUCUAUUGUCAAAAGUAGCAAGCCAUUUUCCAAAGAAAAGGGAAGAUGGAUGGUUCCAGAAAGAAUACCUCAUCCUUUGUCAAGUGUGGAUUAUAUAGCAUCUCCUCUCCCACAGUGGUUACCUAUAAUCAAUGAGGUUUAUAAAAUCGAGCAAUCAUUUAUAUAUGUAAGAAAUGAUAGGAAUAAAGUUUUAUAUCUUACUGAGAAUCCUUUGUAGUCAUGAGCUGGAUAUAGCAAUGUCUCUUUCGGUAAUGUAAAAAUCUGGAUCCAUGAAACAAAUAAGUCCAUAAAUUUUAUUCAAAUUUUGACAAUUACAAUAAAAUUUUGAGAACUCAAAGAAUGUGACCAUAAAAAGUCCCCUGUCCUUACCUGUGAAUGCACUGACUUGUAGAGUUGCUGUGAACUUCCACCCUGCAAAAUGCAUUAAUCAGUGCUAGUCAAUGGCUACUGAAUGUGGGAGCAUUAGAGAAAAUUAUCUUAAAAACUUAAGUAUAACAAAAUUAGACAAUGACAUCCAGAUGGAAAGAAAUUGCCAGCAUAUAAGACCAGCAUUUAUGUACUCACGACUGAAAAUCCUUUGCAAAAAGUAUAGCCCUGAUAGUUCAAACUUUUACUUCAAGGAUGAUUUAAUUACUGAUUAGUUUGCCAUGAGGCUUGUGAAUGACAAACACUUUAUGUGCAACCACAGUAACAAGGUAAGCACCAAUAAGUAGAAGACUAGACGAAUAGGUAACCAAGAGUUAGAGCUAAAACAGACAAACAGAGCUACUAUCCAAUGAGCUAAAACAUACAAACAGAGGUAUAUUUUAAUAAUGAAAAUAAUCGAUUGCCUUAAACACCAUAUAGUGUUCCAAUCAAUCAAAUUAUAGCAGGCAUUAAAACCUUUCCCUUUCGUUAAUUCACAACUAUUAGCUUCAUUAAUCAAAUCCUAUGUACAGUUGAUCGAUUGAAAGUGUAACAUUUCAAAGACGAAAUUUAAACGCAAAACUGGUUAACAUUGAAAUUACAUGUAAAUAUAACCUAAAAAAUCAAAAAAUUAAUCAUAUUUUCAGAUUUCAGGCCGAAAUGGAAUGAAAUGAAAGGUAAAUCCAUUUUUUCCCCAAAAAAACAAAAAUAAAGAAAUAAUAUUUCAAGAACAGAUCAUUAAAUUCAUGGUAUAUAUAAAGAAAUUUAAUUGAAAUCAAAGGAAUAGAAGAAGGGAAAAGCGUACUUGGAACCAUUGCUGCUACUCUCUGUUACUCUGUUACCUCAUACGAUUCGUUAAAGGGUUGUUAGGGUUUGUUAAAAGGUUGGUCAGGAUAGAAGCAUGAAAAGGAGGGAGAAGGUUGGAAGGAAAUGGGAAGAAAAAUGAAAAAAAGAAGAAGAUGCUGCAACGGCUUGGAGGGUAAAAGAGGACCGAUUAGGUAAUCCUUUCUUUUGGAAGGGAUUACAAAUCGGCGCUGCAUAAGGGAAAAUGGGGAAUCAGUGCGCUGCGUAAUAGGCCCGUAUUAAGGCAAUACAGCCAACCAAACAUGGUAAUCAGUGGGGCCACGAAUUAGGGGUGUAUUGGCUAAUCCAAUACACCCAACCAAACAUGCUCUAAAGGACAAAAAAAUUUGAUUUUUUAAAUAUUAUUUUCUCUCUAUUUUGCUAUCAUUUUACUAUUAUGUUGCUACUAUGUUAUUGUUAUUUUUGAAUAUUGUAUAAAACUUAUUUUAUUGUUAAUUUUGUUAUUAUUUUAAAGACAUUUGUUAAUUUUGUUAUUAUUUUAGAGACAUUUGUUUGUUAAGUUGCAUCUAUCUUAGUGUUAUUUAAGUAUACAUAUUUUUUAAAAUUUAUUUUCAAUUUAUUGGGAAAUAUUUAUUUUGAUGUUUUUAGUAUUUUGGAUGUAUUAUAUAUAUUAAAAUUAUAUAAAAAUUAAUAUGGCCGAGCCAGGUCAGGCCCAGAUUUUAGCAUUUUUAUUCAGGUCGGGCUUGAGCAAAAUUUUAAGCCCAUUUUUUGGGCCAAACCAGGCCUGGGCUUAGCAAAUGGGCCUAAAUUUUUAGUCAAGCUCGACCUAAACCCGAUCCGGCCCAUGCUCACCUCUAGAUCAGAGCUGCCCUCGCUUUGCAUUUCUUUGAGAUUCAGUCUUAUCUACUGUUGAUUGCCCACUCAAUGGAGGGUUGAGUAGAAAGAUUUGGUGAAGCAAGCUAAGCUAUCAAUCAAGGUUGGAGAAAGCUUAGGAGGUCACAAUGCAUAAUUAUUUAAAUGUAAUUCUAAUAUUUAAAUAAAAUUUAUUAAUAUAGUAUUAACAAGCCCUAAAUGUAAUGAUUAUAUACUAUUACAUUUUUAAGAAGAGAAAACAUGUUUGAACCUUAAAAACAUCAUUAUUAAAAAUGAUAAUUACAAAUUUUAAAAUAUAAAAAAUAUAAUUAAAAAUUAAUUUUAAACCCGAGCUGGAUAAAAUUCUAAUUUUAGAUAACGAUACUAAUAAGAAAUCAAUAUUAAAAUGAAAAUGAAAAGUAAUUUAAUAUAAUUUUUGAGUCUUGGGCAAAGGCACUCAAUGAAUGCUUGGAAAGAAAUAAUGCAACUUGGUGAUAGCUUUUGUUGGAGUAAUAUGCUCUUAUUAUAGUUUUAUGUUUUUAUCUUGCAAAAACAACAUAUUGGAGUUUUCGGCAUGAUUUUUUCUUAAUACUUUACAUGAAAAAUAAUAAUGGGACUUAAAUUGCUACAAUAUUACAACACAAAGUUACAAUAAGAGCUUAUAACUCAACAAAGGCUAUCAAUAAAUAAUCUCAGGCAAGCUAAAGAGAAAUGUUGAGAAUACCACCCGAAUAGUGACUGACUUUAAAAGUUGAAAACCCGAAGCUAUAUUAUCUCAAACGAAAUCAAACCAUAAACAUUAAAAUUUUCAAGUCUACUAGUUACUGUAAAAAAUUCAGCUCCAACAGACACCAAAUGAGCCUUUGAUCGAAGAAAGUACGAAAAAUAGUCUAGGUAAACCAAGCUUCCAAACUUACUUAUCUUAUCUUUAAUUUGCAGUGAAAUUCAAAAUUAAGAUUUUGUUUAUUUCACUUGGAACAACUUUCAAAAAAUUAUUUUUGAAAAAUGAAUUGGUUUUUCGAAAUAGAUGAUAUUUUAUUGUGUCAAAAUUUUAUUCAUUGUAGGAAAACUUUUUUUAAAUCAUUUUCUUAGAGUUAUUUUUAGUUAAAUAAACAUAACAUAAAUAUAUUUGUUACAAAAAAUUAUACUAGUAUUUUCUUUUGACAAUUAAAAUUUAUUUUAUGGUAAGACAAUAUUUUAUAAUAAUUAAUAUCAUAUAUAUACGUAAUAAAAAUCAUGUUUAAUUAAAAUUUAAUUAAAAUUAGAUGUAUUAAUAAAGCUACUCCUCCACAACCCGCAUCCGCAACAGCACCAGCACCAGCACCAGCACCAGCAUCAGCACCAUGGGACAACUAUUGGGUUUCCUCCACCUGCCUCUAUCGCUCCUCCUCAGUAUUACCCCCAAGCCUACCAGACCGUGCCGGGUAUUCUACAAAUAUGAAAAAACCUUCUUCUCUUUUUAUUAGCUUAUCGAAAUGAAGGAUUUUGAGAUUUGGGCUUUUGUUAGAUGGAUGGUUAAUGAUAUUUUUUAGAUGAAAGAUACAAGUUUUUUAAUGUUUUAGAAGAAAAGGUGUUUAAAUAUUAGGAGUUUUUUAGCAGAGAAAGAAGAUAAAUAAAUGCAUAGAGAUACAUUAGCAAUAUUAUUUGGAUUUGGUUGUCUAAUGUAAUGAAGAAUUUUUUAAGGGUGACCUGAGUAGGUGUGGCAAGAUUCAAAGUUUUUUCUAUUAUAGCAGAUAUAUAUAUAUUAAUGGUUUAAGAAGACUAGAAGUCGGUUUCAAAGGAAGAUGAGAAAUAAAAGCAUUUAUAUAUAUGAUAUGUCAUUAAUUCAUAAACCAAAUAUAUAAAGUAUGUAAAAGUGUCAGGGGUUAAUCAUGGUGUUUUGACAAUCCGGUAACCUUCAACUUGAAGAAAACCUUAGGUUUCAAAAAUUUAUGUGAAGAGUUAGAAUGGUAUGCUUCAUGGAUCUGAAUAACUAGAACAGUGUAAGAGUGGUAUAUUGUGUCAAGUUUGGUUUCUUGUAUAUAAUUGUAUCGAAAACAAUGUUACAUGAGUUAAAAUGAAUGUUCAUCCAAUUUAACAAAGCCUGCAUUAUGUUGAUCAAAAUUUUUAAUUCAUGUUGAGGUUUCUUCCGUGAUAUCUUUGAUGUCAAGGUUAUGAUGUUGCUGAAGGGACACCUGUAAGAGAUAAGCCACCGUGCUGUGGCAUUGGAUUCGGAUGGUUCUUGUAAGUGUACAUAGUUUUCUUUGUUUUUAAAGAGUUCUUUACAUAUGAAGUAAAACAAGUAGCGACUUGAUGGAUAUGUCAUUAAGCUUUAACUUAAGCAAAUCAUUUUCCUUCAUCUCUAAUUGCCAUUUCUUUAAAAGAAAAAGAGGAAGUUUUGUAGUUUACAGUUUGGACAAAUGGAAGUUAAUAUAAUGCACUAUUUGGAUGGACUAUGGAGAUAUCCAAUCAUAUUGGAUGAGUUAUAAGAAACCUGUGAGUUCAUAUUGGGUUUACUUUAUAUCAUAAUUAGAUUGUUGAGCUGGCUGUCAUACUUAGAUGGUAUUUCACGUUGCUACUUGUUAAACUAUACCACUUUCACAUUCAUACGUGAAAUGGCUGGGAUUUAGUGCCAUUCUACUUAGCAGCCUCGUGUAAUACACAGGUGAAAUGUUUAUGUCUUCAUGUCACCUUAAAGUUCCCAUUUCCAUGACGGUAUUGUUAAGUAAAGACUGGUACAUACCCCAAAAUACGGAAAUUGUUUUGGAUGUAUACUAUACUUUACCAUGCAUGAUUUUUUACAAGUUUGCAUGGUAUUUUAUCAUUAUAUUGGUCUUUAUUUUCUAUACUCGCAGCUUCCAUUAAUAUAUUUUUAUGAAUUUUAUCAUUAUGCUGGUUUGAAGGUUCAUCAUUGGUUUCUUCAUUGGGGGCCAUCCCUGGUAUAUUGGAUUCUUUGUUUUACUUUGUGCAAGGAUAGACGACAGAGAGAAAGCAGGAUAUAUUGCAUGCACAAUUGCCGUGAGUAUCUUUUCUAUCAUUAUUUUUUUCUUUUCCAAUUUUAUGAAAGCCAUCCUUCCUGCCUUGUAUUGAUCAUCAAUUUAACCAUUAUAUAUAUGUAUCUUAUGUAUUUGUACCAUGCUUUAUCUUCAAUGCAAAUAUAAGUUAAACUACAAAGAUUGGAUUGUUAAAAAAAGUUUAAAAUGUUAAAAAAAUUGAAAAUUUUGAUUUUGUAAGAAUGAUAGAAAACCAAGGCCAGUGCUUGCAUAUGUUAUCUACUACAUGCACAAUCGGGUCGAUGUCUGUAUAUGUUUCAUGUUUAGAAAUCGUGUUCAAUUGGGUUACGAUAUGUACAAUUGAAGUGUCAAUUUAUAAUUUCCUUAUCAAGAUUACACAUUUUUUUGUUAAUAUUCGGAAUCACUCAAUGGUUAUAAACCCUGAUUGGAUACUGUCCACAAAGUCUAGUUGGAACAUCCCUUGUAUUCUUUGUCCUUUCUAAGAACUUUCCUUUCCAUCAUUCUCGCUUCUGUUUUUUUUUUCUUCCCUCUACUUUAAGUCAUUAUCUAACGUAGAUAUCCCUUGUAUUCUUUGUCCUUUCUAUGGCAAUCGAGUCAAUUGAUGGCAAGCCAAAAAAACAAAAAGAGCAGCUAUCCUGUCUUACUCGAUUGCCAUCCCUCCUGUUAAACACCAUUAAGAAAAGGAAAAUUUUAGUUAAGCUUUAAAACAGCCAUGUUUUAACGAUGUUGGUGAUGGUGCUUGUGCAGGCCCUUCUUGCUACAAUUACAAUUAUUCUUAGUGCAACAAUUAAAGCUGGUGGGUGAUAAAGCACACCUCUUUUGACUGAGAGAUGUAUAGGUUCCCAAAUAAUAUGUAUAUGCUCCCCCCCCUCCCUUUAUUUUAUUUUAUUUCCAGUAAGUUAUUGUUUAUGAUAAUUUGCAACAAAUGUUUUUGUCAUUAUUUUGUUGGUGAAUGAUAAUAAGAUUAAGCUUUACUUUCUUAAGCUCCAAUUCCUUGGACGUUGGUGAUUUUUUUAUUAUAGUUGAGUCAUUGUAUGGUAUUAAUAUAAUUUAUGUCGCUUAAAAUUUAUAACUAAAAAUAUAAAAUUUAAAUUUUACUUCAAUUUAUUUGUAUUUAUAAAUGGUUAAUUCAAACUUAUUUUUUUCCUCAUUAUAUUUUAUAUUUAAAUUAACAUUUAAACUAUUUUUCAUUAGCAAUGUUGUUAAGAAUUAUAUUUUUUAGCACCAACAUCAAACUUACUAAAAUUAAAUUUUUAACUAUUUAAAAAAAAUAUUUUUAGCUAUUUAUCAUCAUAGAGAAAAAAAGGUGACGUCACCACGCCUCAUGCUUCGACACCACAAACUAGACUCUCAUCACCCGUAUUUAUCAUCGAUUCAAAUUCCAGAACUACCUAAAAAUAUAUCUUCAAACUUCCUCUGGUUAAGUUCAUUGAUAGUCAACUUACUAUCAUUUCUAAAAAAAAAACAAAUAAAUUGGUUAAUAGUAAUCUCAAUGAUUCAAUUUUAUUCUUACCAGUAUCUGUCCUUUAGAAAGGGGCUUAUAAAAGGGGUAGAGGUGAGUAAACUUGAGCUUCAGCUUUCCACAAACACCUUAAUUUGAAGACACAGUUCUCUCAUACUAAAAAAGACAUGGAAGUUUACCUUGUAAUUAGAGAUUUGGUUUCAUUGCUUGUUGUUGGGUUAUUAAUGAUAUGGGGAUGCAGAACUUUAAACUGGGUAUGGCUGGCCCCAAAAAGGCUCGAAAGCUGCUUGAGACAACAGGGUUUUGCAGGGAAUCCUUACAGGUUCCUUUCUGGUGACAUAAAAGAGCUCUCAACUAUGAGCAGACAAACAAGAGCCAAACCUAUGCCUCUUAGUGAUGAUAUUGGGCCUUAUGUUGUUCCUUUUCAACAUCAAACUGCUAACCAGUAUGGUAUGUUUUUUUUGUUUAAUCUGCAAUUUAUGAUAAUUCUUUGUUAUUUAUGUAUGGAAUUUAUUGGGAGGAAAUGCAGGAAAGAAUUCAUUUACGUGGUUUGGUCCAAGACCAAGGGUGAACAUUACGGACCCUGAAAAAAUAAGAGAAAUACUUAACAAAUUUAAUGACUUCCAGAAGAUACAUACCAAUCCACUGCUUAAUUUGCUUGUAAGCGGCCUUGCUAACCUCGACGGAGACCGAUGGAGCAAGCGUAGAAAAAUCAUAAACCCUGCAUUUCAUCAAGAUAAGUUGAAGGUAUAGAAUAGUGAUGGGUAAUCAGACUUUACAGAAAACAUCAUACUUAAACCUAUGCUUUUCUGAUUUAGAAAUAAUUGGAUGCAGAAUAUGUUGCCAGCAUUUUAUCAAAGUUGUAGUGACAUGUUAAGCAAAUGGGAGAAGAUGGUGUGUACAAAAGGAUACAGUGAGUUAGAUGUGUGGCCUUAUCUCGUAGAUUUGACAAGAGAUGUGAUUUCCCGAUCUGCUUUUGGAAGCAGCUUCGAAGAAGGCAAACGAAUUUUCCAAUUACUAGAGGACCAACUCGUUCACAUAAUCAAAUUAAUACAAACUGUUUACAUUCCAGGAUGGAGGUAACCGUCAACUUAAUUUACUUGAAAAAGGUUGCAAAUGUUGGAAUUCGCUAAAUUCGUGUUUGUUUUCUUGAAGGUUUUUGCCAACGAAGACAAACAGGGAGAUGAAGAUGAAACACAGGGACAUAAAAGAGUUGCUUAUGGAAAUGAUAAAGAGAAGGGAGAAGGCAAUUAAAGCAGGGGAAGAGAGCAAUGAGGACUUGUUGGACAUACUUGUGGAAUCCAAUAUCAGAGAAAUGGAAGCAAAGAAUAUUGGGAUGAGCAUUGAGGAUGUGAUUGAGGAAUGCAAGCUGUUUUACUUAGCUGGCCAAGAGACCACUUCGGUCUUACUGGUGUGGACUAUGGUUUUAUUAGCAAGGUAUCCCGAUUGGCAAAGUAAAGCAAGAGAGGAGGUUUUGCAUGUUUUGGGUGACAGUAAACCUGACGCUGAUGGCCUUAAUCGUCUCAAAGUUGUAAGUCCCUAGCAUGUCUUUUGAAGGUCCGAUCAAUGAGGUCGACAACUCAAAAACUUUGUUUCUUUUUUCGCUAAUUCUACAGGUAACAAUGAUAUUGUACGAGGUUCUAAGGCUGUACCCACCGGUGGUUGAGCUAGAACGUUCCGUUCCAAAAGAAAUAAAACUGGGGAAUUUGUUGUUACCAGUAGGAACAGAAGUUUCGGUUCCGAUCCUGCUGAUCCACCAUGACAAAGAUCUUUGGGGCGAUGACGCACGGGAAUUUAAGCCAGAGCGGUUCGCGGAAGGGGUUUCCAAAGCAACAAAGAGUCAAGUCACGUUUCUGCCAUUCGGAUGGGGUCCUAGGAUCUGUAUUGGCCAAAAUUUUGCUAUGAUGGAAGCCAAAAUGGCGAUGGCUAUGAUUCUCCAACGCUUCUGGUUCGAGCUUUCCCCUUCCUAUGCUCACUCUCCUUACGGCAGGGCAACUCUUCGUCCACAGCAUGGUGCACAGAUAAUUUUACAUAAACUUGGCUGUAAUUGAAUUGUUAUGUAAACAAAUCUUUGUGAAAACAUAGCGUUUUAGUUUAUCGUCAAAGUCCGGUGUCUGUAAUGGUACAAAUUCGAUGCAUGAAUAGUAAAGUUUGAGAUGUUUGGUGAAGUCCGAAAUAAUAUGCAGAAAUUGAGUGUGGUAAUUAUCAAUCAAAUAAUUCGGUACAAAGACUUACAUGGAAAUUAAAGCAGGGGGAGUUGAAAAUGACUACUCUGCUUUGGGCAUCAAUUUAGAAAGAUUUAAAGUACAAAUGUGUUAUUAGUUAAGGGAUUUGUUUUAAAGAGGGAAUGACAAUUAAACCUCAUGGUUGAUUUGUGGAAGGGAACCGAUGAUGGGAUGAUUAUUCUUAGUGGUAAAAAAAACUAUUGUGGAGGUUAUUAUACUUGUUAUCAUCGGCUUAAAAUUCGAAUGGGUUCAAGUCGGAUUAUAUCGAGCUUGUAAGAUGAGUUCACGGAUCAAAUUUGCAUAAUAAAAAUACUUAAAUGAAAAAAAUUUCUAUUUUAGAGGGACCAGAGCCCCUACCAAUUCCCGGCUCAGCUACUAAACAAUACCCAUAUCAUAUAAAUAAAUACCACCAUAAAAAAAACUCAAAGAAAAACACUGACAAAUGAUAAAUAGAUAGAUGUUGGAUAAGUGUCCAAAAUAUGAUUUAAGUGAAGAUACAUGGGGUAGGUGUCACGGAAAUGUGAAUACAAGAAUACUACUAAUGGGAUGUGUACAGUUGAAUGUAGGGAGCAAAAAGAGGAGUGAAUCAUUUUGGUAACAUUGGGACAAGAAACAUAAUGAACAAAAUGGAAGGAGAGGAAGCUAGUAAAAGAAAUUUUUUGGGUCAUAUAAUUUGUUUGGCAUAUAUUUUUAUAAUUUUUAAAUAUCAUUUUGGACUUGAAUUAUAAUUUUUUUAUAUAUUAUCUUAAAAUUGUAUAAAUUUUAAGGAGUUAAAACAAAAUUAUUCUAUUUUUAGAUGGUUAAAGUAGAGAUGAUAAUGGGUUGAGCUAUUCGGCCCAGCCUGACGAUCCACCCGAAAAAUAGGAAGGUUUGGGUAAAAAUAUAGGCUUGAAAUAUGAAUUUGAGCAAAAAAAGAGGCCCGUUUAGAAAAUGGGCCGAGCCUCGGGUAAAACCUUUUGGGUCUAGACCUGACCUAAAUUAUAUAUUAAAUAUAUAUAUUUUUAUUUUUAAUCAAAUAUACUUUUGUUUUAUUAUUAAUUUGGUUAUUAUUUUAGUUCUAAUUUGUUUCAAUUUUAAUAUAACUACUUUUUAUUAUAUUUUCAAUUUGUGCAUUGUUUUAAGAAUUAUUUUAGUCUCAUUAUUUAUUUAUUUUUUAUUUUAAUAUUUGUUUUAAAAUUUUUUAUUUAUUGAAAUAAGCUAAAAAAAUUAAUAUGGGUUGGACCAGACCGGGCUCGGGCCUAGUAAUUUUCUUUUGGGCCGGACUUAAACAAAUUUUUAAGCCCAUAUUUUGAAUUGGGUCCUACACUAGAAAAUGGACCUAAAAUUUUGUAUUACCUUUAGGUCAGAGCUAUCCUCGUUUUGCAUUUCUUUGAGAUUCAGCCUUAUUUACUUUUGAUUGCCCACUCAAUAGAGGGUUGAGUAGAAAUAUUUGGUGAAGCAAGCUAAGCUAUCAAUCAAGGUGUGCAUAAUUAUUUAAAUGUAAUUCUAAUAUUAAAAUAAAAUUUUUAUUAAUAUAGUAUCAACAAGCAUUAAAUGUAAUCAUCAUAUACUAUUAAAUUUUCAAUAAGAGAAAACAAGCUUGAACUUUAAAAACGAUGUUACUAAAAACAUUAUCACAAAUCUUGAAAUAUAAAAAAUACUUUUUAAUAUAAUAAAAAAAUAAUUUUAAAACCGAGAUGAAUAAAAUUCUAAUUUUAAUUAAUGAUACCAACAACAAAUCAAUAUUUAAAUUAAAAUUUAUCUUAAUUUAAUAUAAUAAAAUUGGACUUGAAUAUUGAAUUUUUGAGUCUUGGGCAAAGUAGAGGUGCUCAUGGGCCGGGUUGGGUCGGGUUUGGGAAAAAUUUCGGCCCGCAUCCUAGGCUCGGGCUCGGCCCGACCCAAAUAUGGGCCUAAAAUUUUGUCUAGGCCUAGCCCGGCCCGGCCCAACUCAUUUUUUUUAAUAAACACCAAAAAUUUAUUUUGAAAAUAAAAAAAUAAAAAAAGUAUUUUAAAAAUAUUUUAAAAUUUUUAAAAAAUAUAUAUAUUUAUUAUAUAUUCGGGCCGGGCCAGGCCCGAGCCAAAAAAGUGGCGCCCAAGGCCCGGCCUGUUUUCUAAACGGGACUCAUUUUUUACCCAAACCCAUAUUUCGGGCCUAUAUUUCUACCCGAAUCUCUCAUAUUUAGGGCGAACCGUCGGGCCGGACCGGGCCGCCCGGCCAUGAACACCUCUAGGACAAAGUCACUCAAUGAAUGCAUGGAAAGAAAUAAUGCAACUUGGUGAUAGCUUUUGUUGGAGUUAUAUGCUUUUUUUUUACGUAGUGGAACUUUCGGUGGAUUUUCAAGUUUCAUGAACUUUAUACUCUAUGCUUUACGUGAAAAAAAAAAUUCAUUGGACUUAAAAGUCUACCAAAAGUUUCACUAAAAAAAAAACCAUUGCUACAAGAUUACAACAUAAAGUUACAAUAAGAGCUUAUAACUCAACAAAGGCUAUCAAUAAAUAAUCUCAAACAAAUUAAAGAGAAAUGUUGAGAGUACCACUCGAAUAGUGAUUAACUUUAAAAAUUGAAAACCCAAAGUUAUAAUAUCCCAAACGAAAUCAAACCAUAAACAUUAAAUUUUUCGAGUCUACUAGAUACUGCAAAAAAUUCAGCUCCAACAGACACCAAAUGAACCUAUGAUCGAAGAAAAUACGAAAACUAGUCUAGCUAAAUCAAGCUGCCAAACUUACUUUUUAUCUUAUCUUUAAUUUGCUGUGAAAUUCAAAACUAAGGUUUUGUACUUAGAACAACUUUCAAAAAGUUAAUUUUGAAAAAUGGAUUGAAUUUUCAAAAUAGAUGAUAUUUUAUUGUGUUAAAAUUUUAUUCGUUGUUUGAAAAAAAAUUUAAAUCAUUUUCUUAGAAUUAUUUUUAGUGAAACAAACAUAUCAUAAAUAUAUUUGUUAUAAAAUAUUUAUAUUAAUAUUUUCUUUUAACAAUUAAAAUAUAUUUUGUGAUAAGGUAUAUUUUAUAAUAAUUAAUAUCAUAUAUACUUAAUAAUAAAUCAUGUCUAAUUAAAAUUUAAUUUCAAUUAAAUAUAUUAAUAAAGCUACAUAUAAUCAUAUUUUAUAUAAUAAAAAUAUUAAUAUAAAUAUUUUUUUAAUAAUAUAUUAAAGAAUAUUUAAAAUUUAAAUUUAUUAUUACUAAGAUUAAUUAUUAAAAUAAAAAUGUAAUGUUAAAUAAUUUAUCCAAUGAUAAGUUAUAUUAAUAAUUUAUUAUAUUAUUAAAUAUAAAUAAUUAAAUAUGUAUGUUUAAUAAUAUUAUGUUAUAAUAUUUAUUAUUAAUAUUUUAAUAUUUUUAAACAACCAUGUUUUAAAGAUGGUGGUGAUGGUGAUGGUGCAGGCCCCCUUGUUACAAUUACAAUAUUUUUAAGUGGGAUGCAUGUAAUAUAUUGUUAGGGUUUUAGAGUGUGUGGUCUUUAAAAGGGUUAAAUUAUAUAUUUAUAUAAUAUGAUUAUUGUUUAUAAAUAUAAUAUUGUAGAUAAACUUUUAUGCAUGUCAAUAUGUAUCCUACUCUGGGGUUAAUAUGUAUUUUUAGAUAUGGAUUCACCUAUAUAAUAGUAUGAAUCCAUCAUGCGGUCUCAUGAAAUAUACAAACACAUAUCGUGCGAACACAAAGUACGAACAAUAAAAAGUACAAAUCAAGACCAAUUGAGUAAUUGAAUAGCAGAUAGGUAAUAAUGACUAUCCCCUCUUGUUUGAAUUUAUUUUAUUUCCAGUGAGUUAUCGUUUAUGAUAAAUUUACAACAAAUGUUUUUAUCAUUAUUUUGUUGGUAAAUGAUAAUAAGAUUAAACUUUACUUUCUUAAGCUCCUUCAAUUCUUUGGACGUUAGCAAGUAAACUUGAGCUUCAGCAUUCCACAAACACCUUAAUUUGAAGACACAGUUCUCCCAUACUAAAAACAACAUGGACGUUUACCUUGUAAUUAGAGAUUUGGGCUCAUUGUUAGGUUAUUAAUGAUACGGGGAUGGAGAGCUUUAAACUGGGUAUGGCUGGCCCCAAAGAGGCUCGAAACGUGCUUGAGACUAGAGGUCCAGGCAAAUUUUUAGGCCCAUUUUUUAGGCCUGGACUGGGCCCGACUCGAAAUAUGAGCUUAAAAAUUUGUCUAAGUUCGGUCCAAAAGAAAAUUGUUAAGCCUAAGCCCGGCCCAUAUUAAAUUUUACAACACCAAAAAACUAUAUAUUUAAUAUAUAUAUUUGAUUAAAAAGUAUAUUUAAUUAAAAAUAAAAAUAUAUAUUUAAUAUAUAAUUCGGGCCGGGCCGAACUCGGGCCAAAAAAGUUUUACUCGGGGCUGGUCCGUUUUCUAAACAGACCUCGUUUUUUUGUCAAAAUCCAUAUUUUAGGCUUAUAUUUUUACCCGAAACUUCCUAUUUUUCGGGUGAACCGUCAGGCCGGACUAGGUAGCCCAACCAAUGAUCACCUCUACUUGAGACAACAGGGUUUUGCAGGGAAUUCUUACAGGUUCGUUUCUGGCGACAUAAAAGAGCUCUUCACUAUAAGCAUACAAACAAGAGCCAAACCUAUGCCUCUUAGUGAUGAUAUUGGGCCUUAUGUUGUUCCUUUUCAACAUCAAACCGUCAAUCAGUAUGGUAUGUUUUUUAAUUUAAUCUGCAAUUUAUGAUAAUUCUUUGCUAUUUAUGUAUGGAAUUUAUUGGGAGGAAAUGCUGGGAAGAAUUCAUUUACGUGGAUUGGUCCAAGAUCAAGGGUGAACAUUACGGACCCGGAAAAAUAAGAGAAAUACUUAACAAAUUUAAUGACUUCCAGAAGGUACGUACCAAUCCACUGCUUAAUUUGCUUGUAAGCGGCCUUGUUAACCUCGAAGGAGACCGAUGGAGCAAGCAUAGAAAAAUCAUAACCCUUCAUUUCAUCAAGAUAAGUUGAAGGUAUAGAAUAGUGAUGGGUACUUAGACUUAAUUUACAGAAAACAUCAUACUUAAAUCUAUGCUUUUCUGAUUUAGAAAUGAUUGGAUGCAGAAUAUGUUGCCAGCAUUUUAUCAAAGUUGUUGUGACAUGUUAAGCAAAUGGGAGAAGAUGGUGUGUACAGAAGGAUACAGUGAGUUAGAUGUGUGGCCUUAUCUUGUAGAUUUGACAAGAGAUGUGAUUUCCCGAUCUGCUUUUGGAAGCAGCUUCGAAGAAGGCAGACGAAUUUUCCAAUUACUAGAGGACCAACUCGUUCUCACAAUCAAAUUAAUACAAACUGUUUACAUUCCAGGAUGGAGGUAACCCUCAACUUAAUUUACUUGAAAAAGGUUGCAAAUGUUGGAAUUGGCUAAAUUCGUGUUUGUUUUCUUGAAGGUUUUUGCCAACAAAGACAAACAGGGAGAUGAAGAUGAAACACAGACAUAAAAGAGUCGCUUAGGGAAAUGAUAAAGAGAAGGGAGAAGGCAAUUAAAGCAGGGGAAGAGAGCAAUGAGGACUUGUUGGACAUACUUGUGGAAUCCAAUAUCAGAGAAAUGGAAGCAAAGAAAAAGGGGAUGAGCAUUGAGGAUGUGAUUGAGGAAUGCAAGCUGUUUUACUUUGCUGGCCAGGAGACCACUUCGGUCUUGCUGGUGUGGACUAUGGUUUUAUUAGCAAGGUAUCCCGAUUGGCAAAGUAAAGCAAGAGAGGAGGUUUUGCAUGUUUUGGGUGACAGUAAACCUGAUGCUGAUGGCCUUAAUCGUCUCAAAGUUGUAAGUCCCUAGCAUGUCUCUUGAAGGUCCGAUCUCUGAGGUCGACAACUCAAAAACUUGGUUUCUUUGUUUCGCUAAUUCUACAGUUAACAAUGAUAUUGUACGAGGUUCUAAGGCUGUACCCACCAGUGAUUGAGCUAGGACGUUCCGUUCCAAAAGAAAUAAAACUGGGAAAUUUGUUGUUACCAGCAGGAACAGACGUUUCGGUUCCAAUCCUGCAGAUCCACCAUGACAAAGAUCUUUAGGGCGACGACGCACGGGAAUUUAAGCCACAGCGGUUCACGGAAGGGGUUUCCUAAGCAACAAAGAGUCAAGUCACGUUUCUGCCAUUCGGAUGGGGUCCUAGGAUCUGCAUUGGCCAAAACUUUGCCAUGAUGGGAACCAAAAUGGCGAUGGCUAUGAUUCUCCAACGCUUCUGGUUCGAGCUUUCCUCUUCCUAUGCUUACUCUCCUUACAACAUGGCAACUCUUCGUCCACAGCAUGGUGCACAGAUAAUUUUACAAAAACUUGGCUGUAAUUGAAUUGUUAUGUAAACAAAUCUUUGUGAAAAUAUAGUGUUUUAGUGUAUCGUCAAAGUCUGCCUGUAAUGGUACAAUUCCGAUGCAUGAAUAGUAAAUCUUGAGAUGUUUGGUGAAGUCCGAAAUAAUAUGCAGAAAUUGAGUGUCUUGAAUGGAUGUAGUAUUUAAUGGUGGACAUAGUUGAGGGACUAAUGUGGUAAUUAUCAAACAAAUAAUUGCAUAUGGUACAAAGACUUGUAUGGAAAUUAGAGCAGGGCGAGUUGAAAAUUACUACUUUGCUUCGGGCAUCAAUUUAGAAAGAUUUAAAGUACAAAUGUAUUAUUAGUUUAAGGGAUUUGUUUUAAAGAAGGAAUGACAAUUAAACCUCAUGGUUGAUGUGUGGAAGGGAACCAAUGAUGGGAUGAUUACUCUUAGUGGUAAAAAAAAAAACUAUUAAGGUGGUUAUUAUAGUUGUUAUCACCGGCCCAAAAUUCGAAUAGGUUCAGGUCGGAUUAUAUUGAGCUUGUAGAUGAGUUUGCAUGAUAAUAGGUGUUCACAGAAAGAUAUCUAUAGUUUCCUACAAAGUCACAUGUGAGAUCGUGCAUUGGGACCGCAUAAAAAUGUUUUAUGUUUAGAAUAUGAUACGUGUCUAUGUGUAUGGAAUCUACCUAAUAUAUCAUAUUAAUUAAUAGUAUCAAUUGCGGAGCCAAAAAAUUAUUUCUGAGGGGUCAGAAUUAAAUUGUAUAUUUUUACAAAAAUAAAAAUUAAAUUUCACUAUUUUAAUAGUUUAUUUCUUUUUAAUUUUUAAAUGAUUAAAUUAAAUUUUUAUAAAUUUUUGGGAUCAAAGUACAAUUUUAUCAUUUCUAAUUUAAAAUUUUAUAAAAUAUAAAAAGUUUAUAUGAAAAGUUUUCUAUUUUAGAGUGGCCAAAGCCCCUGCCAACUUCCGACUCGAUCACUAAACAAUAUAAAUAAAUAAAUACCACCAUCUAAAAGACUCAAGAAAAACACUCAACGAUAAAUAGAUAGAUGUUGGGUAAAGAUACGUUUGGAUGGGCGGUGCGUUUACUUGCGGUUAGUAUAAAAAUAGCGGUGGCGGUUAGAUUAGAUACUAUAGCAACACUGUAGCGUAAGACAAAAAAUAAGCUAAACGUACUGCACUGCACUUAAUCGCCCAUCCAAACUCACCCUAAGUGUACAAAAUAUGAUUUAAGUGAAGAUACGUAGGGUAGGUGUCAUGGAAAUGUAAAAGACAAGAAUCCCACUAAUGUAUGGGAUGUGUACAGCUGAAUGUAGGGAGCAAAGAGGAGUGAAUCAUUUUGGUAACAUUUGGACAAGAAACAUAAUGAACAAAAUGAAAGGAGAGGAAGCUAGUAAAAGAUUUUUUUGAGUUAUAUAAUUUGUUUGGCAUAUAUUUUUAUAAUUUUUAAAUAUCAUUUUGGAGUUGAAUUAUAAUUUCUUUUUAUGUUUUAAAACAUAAUUAUUCUAUCUUCAAAGGGUUAGAGUAGAGGUGAGCAUGGGUCGGGCUACUCGGCCCGAAAUGUGAGAGAUUUGGGCAAAAAUAUAGGCUCAAAAAAUGGACUUGGACAAAAAAAUAUAAGACCCGUUGAAAAAUGGGCCGGGCAUUGGGUAAGGCAUUUUUGGCCCUGGGCCCGGCCCAAUCCUAAUUCACUAAAGGACAAAAAAAAUUUGAUUUUUAAAUAUUAUUUUCUUCCUAUUUUGCUACCAUUUUACUAUUAUGUUGCUACUAUUUUGUUGUUAUUUUUUGGAUAUUGUAUAAAACUUAUUUUAUUGUUAAUUUUGUUAUUAUUUUAAAGACAUUUGUUAAUUUUGUUAUUAUUUUAGAGACAUUUGCUUGUUAAGUUGUAUCUAUCUUAGUGUUAUUUAAGUGUACAUAUUUUUUAAAAUUUAUUUUCAAUUUAUUGGGAAAUAUUUAUUUUGAUGUUUUUAGUAUUUUGGAUGUAUUAUAUAUAUUAAAAUUAUAUAAAAAUUAAUAUGGCCGAGCCGAGUCAGGCCCAGAUUUUAGCAUUUUUAUUCAGGUCGGGCUUGAGCAAAAUUUUAAGCCCAUUUUUUGGGCCAAACCAGGCCUGGGCUUAGCAAAUGGGCCUAAAUUUUUAGUCAAGCCCGACCUAAACCCGAUCCGGCCCAUGCUCACCUCUAGAUCAGAGCUGCCCUCGCUUUGCAUUUCUUUGAGAUUCAGUCUUAUCUACUGUUGAUUGCCCACUCAAUGGAGGGUUGAGUAGAAAGAUUUGGUGAAGCAAGCUAAGCUAUCAAUCAAGGUUGGAGAAAGCUUAGGAGGUCACAAUGCAUAAUUAUUUAAAUGUAAUUCUAAUAUUUAAAUAAAAUUUAUUAAUAUAGUAUUAACAAGCCCUAAAUGUAAUGAGUAUAUACUAUUACAUUUUUAAGAAGAGAAAACAUGUUUGAACCUUAAAAACAUCAUUAUUAAAAAUGAUAAUUACAAAUUUUAAAAUAUAAAAAAUAUAAUUAAAAAUUAAUUUUAAACCCGAGCUGGAUAAAAUUCUAAUUUUAGAUAACGAUACUAAUAAGAAAUCAAUAUUAAAAUGAAAAUGAAAAGUAAUUUAAUAUAAUUUUUGAGUCUUGGGCAAAGGCACUCAAUGAAUGCUUGGAAAGAAAUAAUGCAACUUGGUGAUAGCUUUUGUUGGAGUAGUAUGCUCUUAUUAUAGUUUUAUGUUUUUAUCUUGCAAAAACAACAUAUUGGAGUUUUCGGCAUGAUUUUUUCUUAAUACUUUACAUGAAAAAUAAUAAUGGGACUUAAAAAUCUAUCAAAAGCUUCACCAUAAUAAUAAUAAUAAUAAUAAUAAUAAUAAAUUGCUACAAUAUUACAACACAAAGUUACAAUAAGAGCUUAUAACUCAACAAAGGUUAUCAAUAAAUAAUCUCAGGCAAGCUAAAGAGAAAUGUUGAGAAUACCACCCGAAUAGUGACUGACUUUAAAAGUUGAAAACCCGAAGCUAUAGUAUCUCAAACGAAAUCAAACCAUUAACAUUAAAAUUUUCAAGUCUACUAGCUACUGUAAAAAAUGCAGCUCCAACAUACACCAAAUGAGUCUUUGAUCGAAGAAAGUACAAAAACUAGUCUGGGUAAACCAAGCUGCCAAACUUACUUAUCUUAUCUUUAAUUUUGCAGUGAAAUUAAAAAUUAAGUUUUUGUUUAUUUCACUUGGAACAACUUUCAAAAAAUUAUUUUUGAAAAAUGGAUUGGUUUUUCGAAAUAGAUGAUAUUUUAUUGUGUUAAAAUUUUAUUCGUUGUUGGAAAACUUUUUUUAAAUCAUUUUCUUAAAGUUAUUUUUAGUGAAACAAACAUAACAUAAAUAUAUUUGUUACAAAAAAAUUAUAUUAGUAUUUUCUUUUGACAAUUAAAAUUUAUUUUAUGAUAAGACAAUAUUUUGUAAUAAUUAAUAUCAUAUAUAUAUACGUAAUAAAAAAAUCUUGUUUAAUUAAAAUUUAAUUAAAAUUAAAUAUAUUAAUAAAGCUACAUAUAAUCAUAUUUUUUAUAAUUAAAAUAUUAAUAUAAAUAUUUUUCAAUAAUAUAUUAAAAUAUUAAAAUUUAAAUUAUUAUUACUUAAAUUAAUUAUUAAAAUAAAAAAUUUAAUAUUAAAUAAUUUAUUCAAUGAUAAGUUUUAUUAAUAAUUUAUUGUAUUAUUAAAUAUAAUUAAUUAAAUAUGCAUAUUUAAUAAUAUUACGUUAUAAUAUUUUAAUAUUCUUAAACAGCCAUGUUUUUAAGAUGCUGGUGAUGGUGAUGCUGCGGGCCUCUCUUGUUACAAUUACUAUAAUUUUUUGUGCAAUAAUUGAAGUUGUUGGGUGGUCAAGCAAACCUCUUUUGACUGAGAUGCAUAUAAUAUACCCGCAUGUCCCCGCCUCCUAAAAUUUAAAUUUGUUAUUUGAAUCUUUAAAUUUUUUAAUAUAAUAUACCCGCAUGUCCCCGCCUCCUAAAAUUUAAAUUUGUUAUUUGAAUCUUUAAAUUUUUUAAAAAUUUUAAAUUCAUAAAAGUAAAAUUAUACUUUGACCCUCUAAAAUUAUAAAAAUUUAAUUAAUCUUUUAAAUUCAUUGGGCCCCUAAUAUAUUGUUCAGGCUUCACCCUUGAUACUGAUGUUGACUAUUUUAGAGUAUGUGUCUUCUUUAACAGGGUUAAAUUAUAUAUUUAUAUAAUAUAGUUAUUGUUUAUGGACGUGACAUCGUAACUAGGUUCUUAUGCAUGUCAACAUAUAUCCUAUUUUAAGGUUAACACGUAUUUUUAAAUGUGAAUUCACCUAUAUAAUGGUAUGAACCAUCAUGCAGUCUCAUAAAAUAUGCGAAUAUAUGUCGUGCGAACACAAAGUACAAUCCACACAGAAUACGAAUUAAGACCCAAUUGAAUAAUCGGAUACGAAUCAGUAAUAAUGAAUUUCAUAACAGCCACCAACCCCUCUUUUGUUUUAAUUUAUUUUAUUUCCAGUAAGUUAUUGUUUGUGAGAAUUCACAACAAAUGCUUUUGUCAUUAUUUUGUUGGUAAAUAAUAAUAAGAUUAAACUUUACUUUCUUAAGCUCCUUCAAUUCUUUGGAAGUUGGUGGUUUUUUAUUCUAAUCUUAUUUUUUUUAUUAAUUUCUUUUUUUAUAAUAAAUGUGUUUAUAGAUCAGGUUGGAUUAUAAUUGAAUCAUUGUCUGGUAUUAACAUAAUUUAAAUCGAUUAAAAUUUAUUCGACUGGAAAUAUAAAUUUAAAAUUUUACUUCAAUUUAUCUUAAUUUAUAAAUUGUGAAUUUAAAUUUAUUUAUUUUCUCUCAUUAUAUUCAGUUUUUCGGAUCAUAUUUGGCCCAGAACAAAAACUAGAACAAAAAAACAAAUAUAUAUGUUUUCCAAAAAUUAAAUUGUUAACUUUAAAAAAAUAUAUUUUUAGCUAUUUAUCAUCAUAGAGAAAAACAAAUAAGGUCACCUCGCCUUAUGCUUCAACACCUCAACCUAGAUUCUCAUCACCUGUAUUUAUCAUCGAUUCAGAUUUUUAUUUUUACUAUAUUCUAGAUCUACCUAUAAAUAUAUCUUCAAACUUCCUCUGGUUAAGUUCAUUCAUAGAUAGGUGAGUAAACUUGAGCUUCAGCUUCAACAAACACCUUAGUUUGCAAUUCUCUCAUACUAAAAAUAUGGAAGUUUACCAUGUAAUUAGAGAUUUGGUCUCAUUGCUUGUUGUUGGUUUAUUAAUGAUAUGGGGAUGGAGAGCUUUAAACUGGGUAUGGUUGGCCCCAAAGAGGCUCGAAAGGUGCUUGAGACAACAGGGUUUUGCAGGGAAUCCUUACAGGUUCCUUUCUGGUGACAUAAAAGAGCUCUUAACUAUGAGCAGACAAACAAGAGCCAAACCUAUGCCUCUUAGUGAUGAUAUUGGGCCUUAUGUUGCUCCUUUUCUUCAUCAAACUGUCAACCAGUAUGGUAUGUUUAAUUAUUAUUUAAUCUUCAAUUUAUGAUAAUUCUUUGUUAUUUAUGAAUGGAAUUUAUUGGGAGGAAAUGCAGGAAAGAAUUCAUUUACGUGGAUUGGUCCAAGACAAAGGGUGAACAUUAUGGACCCUGAAAAAAUAAGAGAAAUAUUUACCAAAUUUAAUGACUUCCAGAAGGUGCGUACCAAUCCACUGCUUACUUUGCUUGUAAGCGGCCUUGUUAACCUCGAAGGAGACCGAUGGAGCAAACAUAGAAAAAUCAUAAACCCUUCAUUUCAUCAAGAUAAGUUGAAGGUAUAGAAUAGUGAUGGGUA